UUCAGAUGACACACCACAAGUGAUAAGACGAAAAGGUUUGUGUCAAUAUUCAUUCAUUCACUACUCAAUACCUCUGUUAAUAUAUAAUAUAAUAUGUUAAUCUAUCAAUAUUCCUAAAUCUUCUCCAGGAGAAUUUCUGCCCCCUAUGGAAAAAGUUCUUGAACAAGUGAAAGAAGCCAAACAGAAAAAAGCUAGAGAGGAGAUAUACAAAAUCAUUCAAGGUGAAUGGUUUGUUGUUUUCUUCAGUGCUUGCACACUGUAAAAUACAGUGCUUGUGCAGAAUGAAAACUGCAAUUUAAGAGAAAACUGAUAGAACUGUGACUCAUUAUCUUUUCUGUUCUUCCAGAUAUGCGGGAGAAGAAGGCUGAUGGUGAAGAGGAAGAGAUAACACUACAACAAAUAAACAUAACAGUAGAAAAAGUCAAGAAAAAAAAAGAACAUGAGAAAAAGGAGAUAGAAAAGGCUAAAAGCAAAGAUAAAUCCAAAGAGGACAAGACUCGAGAACCAACAAAAAAGGACACCAAGAAAAAACCUGACAAAAAGGUCAAGGUGACUAAAGUGGUUGAGGAACCUCCUCUAAAAAAGAAGAAAUCUGGACCUGAGAAAAAGGUUAAACAAGCAAAGAAAGAUGUUGAGGUGGCCAAGGACAAAAUCAAAGCAGUACCUGUAAAGAAAGAAGCUGAAGUGGCCAAAAAAGAGACCAAACCAGCACCAUCUAAGAAAGAGCCCAAAGUUACAAAAGAAAAGGCCAAACCAGCUCGUUCAAAGAAAGAAAAAGCUGAUGUUAUCAAAGAAAAGGCAAAACCAGCUCCAAAAGAAAAGGGUAUGCUUGUGCUGUAA
rnacentral:lncRNA from 1 species